GACAGAGGUGCCAAGCGUUAGGCGGAAUCACUGGGCUUAAAGCGUGUGUAGGCGGUCCACCAAGUUUGGGGUGACAGUUGCCGACUUAAUCGGCAAAGUGCCUCAAAGACUGGCGGACUUGAGGGCCACAGAGGGACAUGGAACUCCAGGUGUAGUGGUGAAAUGCGUAGAUAUCUGGAAGAACACCAAAGGCGAAGGCAGUGUCCUGGGAAGAUACUGACGCUGAGGUGCGAAAGCGUGGGGAGCAAACAGG
rnacentral:rRNA from 1 species